GCACUGUGAGGCAGCAGUACCAACCACUGAGCCAACCGUGCCACCCAUCCAUUUUGAGAUAGUAACCUGUGCAGGAGACUGACCUUUAAGGCUGAGAGUGUGUGGGUCACCGUACUGGGAUCCCUGUGGUCUGGGAGUGCUGAACUCCCAGGUGUGACCAACGAAUAAUGGUUUCUACCUUUCUGUCAGCAGUGGGUUUGUCUGGGACUGGAUCUGCCAGAGACCCAGCAGCACAUGGUCAGUGGUUUGAGAAAACUCAACACCUUCCAAGUCUUUGGGGCCUCCCAAAAACUUUCACAGCCAAUCAGUGGCCACUCCCAUUCAGGAAGCAUUUCGGCUAAUAUGUACGCAGGGAGAUCCCGCAAACGGCAAUGUGGUACUAGCUGGGGGAAGCUGCUUCAGUGAUAUUGGCUUUGGGGUAAAUAUUGGGGGGACUGAUCAUCCUGAAAAUAGUGAUAAGGGAUGUUUCGCUUCCCCAACAGAGGACACAGUCUCUAUUUAACAUCUCGUCUGAAAUCCCCACCCUGCAGUCAUGCAGCACCCUUUCAGUGCUGCACUGAAGCGACAGCCUGUACUGUGUGCUCAGGUCUCUCUAGACUGAAACUUGAGCACACAGCCGACUGACUCCGGAAUAGGUGAAACCAUUAACAUUAAAGAGGUGGUGAGAAUUCUUGGCUGCUGCUAUCUAUUGGAAACCCAUUCAUCCAAUGUCUUGUUACUAACAGAGCAUGUCACUGACCUGUGUACUGACCCAGAUCAGAUUAGCAGAAUAUCCACCCUGAGGCUUUCUAGGGGAGAGGAGAUUUUAAUCAGCUUGUAGACUUUAGUUUGACACGGAGAACUGAGACGGUGUUAUCUGUGAAGUCUGCUUUCACAUUCCUUUUCCUUUUGCUCCCAGAUAAACUUUGUGUGAAGAUAUUCAUAAAGAAUGCGUUUUCAGAUCAGAUGAUAAAUACGUAACGUCCUGCACUUUCUCGAACUGCUGAAGCUUGCUGUGCCAUCGUUCUCGAACUCCUCCUGUCCUUCAACUCUCCGUGUUCCUCUCUCUCUUUUCAACCUUCCUCUGUCUCUCUCUUCCUGGUCAACCAACUGUGCUGGUGUGAGUGAGCUCUGUCAGCUCUCUCUGGAUCAAGCCUCUGUAAGGUUGGUUUUUGAACAAGUUACUCGUGCAAAAGAAGAGAACAUGGGGAUGCACCAGGUCCUCGAUCAAACUCUACAAGAACUCCACAAUUUAUAAAGAGAACUCUAAGGAACAUAACUCCCAGCAACCAUUGCCAACUGACUGCUUGCGAUUGAACAUUCCAUGUUAUCCUGUCCAUUUGAGCAAGUGUCAACUCAUUCCACCCAAUUAUUAAAGAUUGAAUGGCAGCCAAAGUUUUUUAUUUUGUAAUUGUAGAAUUUUUAUUGCAAAAGUUCCUACUUUUUCUUCAGUCACGCAGUGUUUCCCUAUUGUUAGAAUAAGCACAGCUAUCUCUCUGUAGACUCUCUCUAUGUUAGAAUAAGCACAGCUCUCUUUAUGUAGACUCUUCCCUGGUGUGUGAGACAGGAGUAGCUCUGUGAAGGUUCAGGUUUCAAUAUGUCCCUUUUUUUUUUCAAAAAAAGAAAAAAACACAGUCUUGAGGUGAAGCCCGCACCUUCUGGAAUUGGUCUUGAUUAUGGGCUUUCUUCCUGUCUGUCCAUUGUGCUAUUAACCUGACCCCAAUCGCUUGCUUUGUCCUUCAUUCAGUGGGUGAUGUCAUUCAGUAGCUCCUGCAUGGAUCAGCAGAUCUGGGAUCUUUUCUGUUCCUGUUGUAAUGAGGGCAGCGGCUGUACUCCCUGCAGGUUGGACUAGGUGGGUCUCUUCCAUGUUAACUCCUCGGCGUUUAGAAAUCAGGCUGGUUUCUAAUCCUGGUCGAUCCUUGUUUCCAUUCUAGUUAUUUGGACUGAGCUGUUUGAUUGGAUUGGAAAACACACCCUUGUUUCCACCUUCCCUUGAUUGGAGCAGAAGCAAAGCAGUUCUACAAUCUUCACUCCACCAUUUUUAUAUUUGGGUGACCAAGGCCCUUUUAUUUUUUUUAUGAUUUAUAUUCUGUCUGUUUAUAAUACUGUCGCACGCUGAGUCUUGUACUCUGUAAUGUCCAUUAGGAAAGGGCUGACAGUAGUGGAUUUGGACUGGGGGCUGCUGUAGGUCAGCUCUCUAGUCCUACAUCCCUUAACAAUUCCAGCCCAAAACACACCUCUCUCAGUUCUAAGGGUGUUCAGUUCUCAGCAUCCAGGCCGGUUCCAAAUCAUUUUCUUCCGCUGUGGCUGUAUGUAGGCAGCCCUGCCAGUUUCCCACAAAAUGGGGAACUGAGCUGUGUACCUAUUGCCUGUUAAGGAAAUCACUUUAAAACAUGCACAUCACUCACAUCAGCAAGAGGAAAGCCUCCUUCAUAACGGCACCUGCAAAAACAUCCCAAAAUCUUGCUUUACAAAGUCUUCACAUCAGGAGCUGUACUGCACAAAUACGUCUAAAAAUGUUAGCCUUUUUUUUUGUUGCUGAAUUUUGCCUCCUUACAUGGGUGCGACUGUCUUUGUUUAAACAUUGUUACCUGUGGUUAUUGUGACUGUCCCAUUGGCCGGGUGUUGAUUGUGGUGUACCUUGGUUUGGUUUUGCUUCCAUUCCGUUUCAGUGGACCGUGUCGUUUGAUUGGAGUAGCAAAAAAGCAGCAAUGUUUGUGACCAACUCUCAACGAAAACAAGCAUCAGAAACCGCUUUCCCAUUUGGAAAUGCCCAUUAAUUCCUCUCUCCUCUCCUACUUUCCCUUCCUCCCCACCCACCCCACCCCCCAGCCCAUGAACCAUGAUUUCUAGCGAUUUGUACAAUUUUAUAGAGUCACACGUUCUAGUGCUGGCAUCACAACGCAACAGCAAAACACUAUUUGCAUUAAAAAUAGCACAGGAACUGAAUUAAAAGGGAAUGUGUGUCUUUGAUUUCUUUGCACAUCUGAAUCAGUUACCUUGGGGAAUUACGACUUGAUCUGUGUUUGCACUGGUGAUGUUGACCGAUGAGCAAAUAAAAUGACUCACUGCUGAAGAAA